rnacentral:rRNA from 1 species
UACAGAGGGGGCAAGCGUUGUUCGGAAUUACUGGGCGUAAAGGGCGCGUAGGCGGCCCGCUAAGUCGAACGUGAAAUCCCCGGGCUCAACCCGGGAACUGCGUCCGAUACUGGUGGGCUUGAAUCCGGGAGAGGGAUGCGGAAUUCCAGGUGUAGCGGUGAAAUGCGUAGAUAUCGGGAGGAACACCAGUGGCGAAGGCGACUUACUGGACGAUUGUUGACGCUGAGGUGCGAAAGCGUGGGGAGCAAACAGG